UCAGUGUUCAAACGCUUUGAUAUUUUCUCCAUGGUAUCAAAAAUUUGUCCUCAAAUACUUCAAUAACUAGGAAAAUGAGAAGAGUAUUUUAUUAGAGUUUUUCUUAAUUUCUAAUCUAUUAGGAUUCACUUUUUCGAAGUAACGAAAAAAGAUUCUUAAAAUUAUUAAAUCUCCUUCAUAUGCCUUAUUUUUUCUUGAAAGAAAAGUUUUGCACUUCUAUAAAUUAAGACUUACUUCUCACAAACCCAAAACAAUUUUUACAAUAUAGUCUUUACGAGAAUCAUGUUUAGGGGAGAUUAUUCUUUCAAAAAAAGAUCUCUUUUUAUAUUAGUGAUAGAUCAUAUAUAGGUUGAUUGACCAAAUAAAAAUGAAUUAUUAUGCCUAAUUUAGUAUAUUUCUCUUUUAUGCCCUGAUUUAUCGUCUAUCAAGCUUUAUAUUAUUAGCUUCCGCAUGUACCAUGUUAUUUCGAUCCCAACAUAAGUGAUAUUAUAUCAAAGAAAUCGCAGUAAAAGGGGAAAAGAAACAGAAAAUAAAGAAGAGACAUACAUUCAAAAGAACGUGAACUGUUGAUAGAAUCGGCCCAUGCAUUUUAUCGAUCGAAAGAGUUUACAAACUGCAUAACAAUUACUCCUAAAUAGUACUGGUAAAUCACUCAUCUACUAUAAAAUUAACAAGUAGUGUCACCUCUCCCAUCCCAUACAAAAUAUAUACAUACAUAUAGUCGGAAGGUGUUUGAUAUAUAACUCGAUUAGCAUAUCAAAAGGUGUAAGAUGUUAUAUUCUUUUCUCUUUCGAUGAUUAAUGGCAAAAACCAGACUUCAAGCAUAAGCCUCUUCUUCAUUAAUAGUAGCCAACACCUUAGGAAUUGGGCGCUUUACCACUUUCACAAAUUUUGGUGGAGCAACUUCUUUUGCAAGUAAUAUUAAGACUGUUGCAAACUUGGCCAUUGUAUUAGCUAGUAAUAUUUUAAGUAAGGAAUAAGGAGAAAAUGAAGAGCUGUUGCAGAGAAGUAAACAUAAAGUGCGAUCAAUUUAUAGGGUUAGACUAGUGAUAACCUGUUCAAUACGUUGUUCACUUUACAUUAAAGGUCCGCUUUGUCCUGAUAUGCCUCCUCCUUUUGUACUAAUUGCAUCCACUUGUCUUCUUUAUUGAGAAAAAG
rnacentral:lncRNA from 1 species